UGGUGGAGCGAUUUGUCUGGUUAAUUCCGAUAACGAACGAGACUCUAGCCUACUAAAUAGUUCGCCCAUGCUCGCAGGUGGGCGUUAACUUCUUAGAGGGACAAGUGGCGCUUCGCCACACGAGAUUGAGCAAUAACA
rnacentral:rRNA from 1 species